AGGAAUCGGUUAGCCGCCCAGUAACAAGUAACAAUAGUAGUUCAAUAAAAGAAAGAGAACAACGAAUAAAUAAAAAAAUAAUCAAUAUUCGUGAUGCACGCAUUAUUGUAUUAGAUAUUAGACCCAAACAAAGGAAAAAGGGGGGUCCUUCUUGACCUAAUUACAAGGGUGGGCUUUCUAAUAUGGAAAGACAAAAUGUAAAACCUAGUUUCGAUUGAUCUUAUCAUGCGAUAC
rnacentral:lncRNA from 1 species